GCGGAUGUAGCUCAGUGGUAGAGUGCUUGCCUAGUGUGCGAGCAGGAGGCCUGGGUUCCAUCCCCAGCACUGCC
rnacentral:tRNA from 1 species